CCAGGUGUCUCCGUAAAGGCACAAGCAUGUGAGUGAAGCUGUCUUGUGUUCUCCCUCACUGGUAUUACCUGAAGCUGAAAAAUGGCAUGGCUGGACCUUGUCUGGAAUCCCUAAUCCACAGAUUGUCUAGGCCACACAGGGGAGACCGCAGGCUGAGACAUCAGCUGUAGGCUAUCUGACAGAAUGAUAAGAAGCCGAAAAAGGGAGAGGCGGGACGGUCUUCCUAGACGGGCCUCCUAUGUUGUGGAGGUGAGCUCAUACGCUUAGCCCUGCGCAACUCUUGCUUUGUGUUGGCAGGCUGCUUCUACUAUUUAUAUGGAAGAGCGAAAGCCCAAGAAGAGCCGACAGAGUCUAGAAGAAAAAAAGGACAGAAGGGAGGAAUUUGCCCUGCCAGCCAUCAAGCCUCAUUAUAAAGCAAUAGUUACUAAGACAGUGAGAUAUCUGUGCAGCGAAUGACAAAAUGGUGACAAGCAAAACAGAGGGCCUGGAGAUGGACCUACGCAUAUCUGGAAACUUGAUAAAUGGCAGAAAUGGCAUGGCAGGAAUGUGGGGAAGUGCUAGACUAUUUGAUAAUCAUUCAUAUGAAAAUAAAUGAAAUUGGAGCCCUG